rnacentral:lncRNA from 1 species
AACGUUAUAUCAUUCAUGACUACACCUAGGACCGUGAAAUACUGAGAAAUACUGAAACACAAGUACUGAACGAUACUGAAUUUUGUUCAGUAUAAUUGUUCGGUGUAGUACACCUAGAGUGUAGAAUACCACAUAUAUAUUUAACAAAGAGGUAACAUUUCUACCAAUAAUUUUUUUCGUCCAACUCUUCAAUACUCUGAAACCUGUGAUGAGUUUUUUAGUGAACCUACGAUGAAAAUUUUUAUCUACCCUGUUUUUCCCAUGUCCGUUUAGAGUUUUAUUUUUUUUCUAUUUUAGCUGCAAUAAACUUUUAUAUUUAUUGUUUCUUCACGUGCCCAUUUAAGUUUGAUUUCCAUGCUCUUUCCGUUUCUCUCUUUUUUUCAGUUUCCGUUUAAUUUUUCUCCUGUUUUCUUUUCUCAUUUGUUUUCCUUAUUUUUGAAGAAGUAUUUUGAGCCUGUUUCUUCCAUGUCCUUUUUGAAUUUUUUCUUUUUUCUGAUUAUCUUCAAUAAUAAAAUAUAGUAUUAUUAGUCUUUGAAUCUUUACAUCUUCUCUGUCAUUAAUCAAUAAAAUAUUCUUAUCACUAGAUUUCUGGUAUAGUUUUAUUAGGAAUAAAUUUUAUUUUUAUUAUAGCUUGGAUAAAUCAAUGGUCAGACGAAUGUAAUCAUAAAAUGAAGUCUUAAGUAGUUUGUUGUCCAAUCUAAUCAAUAUAUAUAUUCUACAUCUACAUACUUGAUAUUAAAGAGCAAAAUGAUUUUUCCGAUUGUCUUUUGUUACUUAUCACAAUAUCCUUGCACUUCUCUCUGCCCUGUUCGUGAUUGGAAUUUAUGCCCAUAUAAGUUAGAACAACACCAGUCUAACAAUGAUGCGUAAUCUAUAUGUCCCAAAUGUGACCUAUGCUUACAACCCACACUCGGGUAAGUUAGAACAACAUACGUUCAAUGAUGAUAGAAUGUCUAACUACUCCAGACGAAGGCCUCUUAGGUUCAUGCCUCAAGGGAUUUCGUGAGAACAUCUAUCGUUCGUGCCACCAUAUCGGGGCGGUGGUGGUUACAUAACAGGCAAUAUUCAAGUUAACGUCAAUUAAUGAAAAUGGUAGAAGGCAACAUGGGAGAAAUAUUUUGAUGCCGAAUUUCUAAAGUUGAAUCUUUUGGAUGCUAUUUUAGUAAACUUUGGUUCUUUUAGUGGUACAAAUCCAAUUAAUUUUUUAUGGAUUUAAUAGAGCAUUGACAUAUUAUUAGCAAUAUUAGUUUACACAAAAUAAAAUAUAAAAUAAAAACCUAUCAAUACAUAUAUAUUUCAAUAGCUUAUUUCUCCCGUUGCAACGUACGGGCAUGUUUUGCUAGUCAUUUAAAUAAAGUGCAUAUUCCAUUGCGACACACGUAUAGAGGGCGUGUUUGGCAGGAUUCAUCCUAGCUCUGGCUCUGACUCCUCUGAAGGAACCUGCCAAAUGUUUUCAUGGAGGAGUAUUUUUUAGUAAAAAGCAGAUGAGACGAAGUUGUUUUUUGAAAAGCCAUAAAUUAUGACUUCUGCAAAACAACUCUGGCUUCUCUAGAAACCACGCCAAACACCAGGAUUGUAUUUACUAGUUCUAAAAAAAGGAAUCUGACCCCCUAAAAGCUGAGCUUGCCGUGGUAAUAAACGUUUGGAGUUGUCUACUUGUCGAGCCAAAGUUACUCUAUUUUUUUAAUAGAAAAUGGAACAAGGUUCCAGCUUGGGUCAAAGUUAUGGACUUGUGAAUACGAGAUCUAGUCCAUUAUUAUCCUGUCGGGCCUCUUGCUUCAUUGGAGACAUGGGUUGCCAAAACUUCACCAAUGGAGGAAUUCCUGGCCCCCAAUUUAAACAGCGGCAACAGCCCACUCAUUGGCCCUAGGUCGAGACUGGUAUCUCUUGUGACCCAGAUCUGGCCGCAGUUUUGAAUUGAUCUGGUCGUAUAGCCAAUACGAAAGAUGAGCAAAAUGUUGACGCCAAUUAAAAACUCUGUCUUUUUCUUUAAUUAAAAUAAAAUAAAAUAAAAACUAUAUCCGUUUUUCUUCUUUCGGAAGAAGGGAGCUUUAUUAAAAAGUUUUAUAUGAAAAGAUUGUAUUCUAACCUCUGCAUGAGUUUUGUACGGUAAUGAAAAGAGAAGCCAUUACGAUUACAUAUGAGUGCCAAUUAAAAACUCUGUCUUUUUCUUUAAUUAAAAUAAAAUAAAAUAAAAACUAUAUCCGUUUUUCUUCUUUCGGAAGAAGGGAGCUUUAUUAAAAAGUUUUAUAUGAAAAGAUUGUAUUCUAACCUCUGCAUGAGUUUUGUACGGUAAUGAAAAGAGAAGCCAUUACGAUUACAUAUGAGUGCAUUAACAGGCUCUGGAAAAGAGAGAGUUAUCCAAAUGUAAAGAAGAACAGUUC